rnacentral:rRNA from 1 species
UACCUGCAGCUCGAGUGGUGACCGCUAUUAUUGGGCCUAAAACGUUCGUAGCCGGCUGAGUAAGUGCCGUGGGUAAAUCGUACUGCUUAACAGUACGAAUUCCGGGUAGACUGCUCAACUUGAGACCGGGAGAAGCUAGAGGUACUCCUGGGGUAGAGGUGAAAUUCUGUAAUCCUGGGGGGACCACCAGUGGCGAAGGCGUCUAGCUAGAACGGGUCUGACGGUGAGGGACGAAACCCUGGGGCGCAAACCGGAUUAGAUACCCGGGUAGUCCAGGGCCCAAACGCUGCUUGCUUGAUGUUAGCUGGGCUCCGGGCUCGGCUAGUGUCGGAGAGAAGUUGUUAAGCAAGCUGCCUGGGAAUACGAUCGCAAGAUUGAAACUUAAGGAAUUGGCGGGGAGCACAGCAACGGGUGGAGCGUGCGGUUU